GACGAACGCUGGCGGCGUGCUUAACACAUGCAAGUCGAACGGAAAGGCCCCCUUGUGGGGUACUCGAGUGGCGAACGGGUGAGUAACACGUGAGUAACCUACCCUUGACUUUGGGAUAACUUCAGGAAACUGGGGCUAAUACCGGAUAGGAGCUCCUGCUGCAUGGUGGGGGUUGGAAAGUUUCGGCGGUUGGGGAUGGACUCGCGGCUUAUCAGCUUGUUGGUGGGGUAGUGGCUCACCAAGGCUUUGACGGGUAGCCGGCCUGAGAGGGUGACCGGCCACAUUGGGACUGAGAUACGGCCCAGACUCCUACGGGAGGCAGCAGUGGGGUAUAUUGCACAAUGGGCGGAAGCCUGAUGCAGCAACGCCGCGUGCGGGAUGACGGCCUUCGGGUUGUAAACCGCUUUCGCCUGUGACGAAGCGUGAGUGACGGUAAUGGGUAAAGAAGCACCGGCUAACUACGUG
rnacentral:rRNA from 1 species